GCCCCCGUAGCUCAACGGAUAGAGCACUUGACUUCGGAUCAAGGGGUUGCGCGUUCGAGUCGUGCCGGGGGCG
rnacentral:tRNA from 1 species